rnacentral:tRNA from 1 species
GGACAGGUGUCCGAGUGGUUGAAGGUGCCGCUCUCGAAAAGCGGUGAGGUGAUGAGCCUCCGUGGGUUCGAAUCCCACCCUGUCCGCCC